rnacentral:sRNA from 1 species
AAAACUAAAAAAAAAGAACAACAAAAACAAA